rnacentral:rRNA from 1 species
GGCGUGCCUAAUACAUGCAAGUCGAGCGAACGGACGAGAAGCUUGCUUCUCUGAUGUUAGCGGCGGACGGGUGAGUAACACGUGGAUAACCUACCUAUAAGACUGGGAUAACUUCGGGAAACCGGAGCUAAUACCGGAUAAUAUUUUGAACCGCAUGGUUCAAAAGUGAAAGACGGUCUUGCUGUCACUUAUAGAUGGAUCCGCGCUGCAUUAGCUAGUUGGUAAGGUAACGGCUUACCAAGGCAACGAUGCAUAGCCGACCUGAGAGGGUGAUCGGCCACACUGGACGUGAGACACGGUCCAGACUCCUACGGGAGGCAGCAGUAGGGAAUCUUCCGCAAUGGGCGAAAGCCUGACGGAGCAACGCCGCGUGAGUGAUGAAGGUCUUCGGAUCGUAAAACUCUGUUAUUAGGGAAGAACAUAUGUGUAAGUAACUGUGCACAUGCUUGACGGUACCUAACUCAGAAAGCCCACGGCUAACUACGUGUCCAGCAGCCGCGGUAAUACGUAGGUGGCAAGCGUUAUCCGGAAUUAUUGGGCGUAAAGCGCGCGUAGGCGGUUUUUUAAGUCUGAUGUGAAAGCCCACGGCUCAACCGUGGAGGGUCAUUGGAAACUGGAAUACUUGAGUGCAGAAGAGGAAAGUGGAUUCCAUGUGUAGCGGUGAAUGCGCAGAGAUAUGGAGGACACCAGUGGCGAAGGCGACUUUCUGGU